CAGGCGUCUAAGGUAGGCUUCCACUGAUGAUGCCUUACUGAUGAGUCCAGUAGUGGAAGCCGGGACGAAACGCCAA
rnacentral:hammerhead_ribozyme from 15 species